rnacentral:rRNA from 1 species
UACGUAGGGUGCGAGCGUUAAUCGGAAUUACUGGGCGUAAAGCGUGCGCAGGCGGUUUGAUAAGACAGGCGUGAAAUCCCCGAGCUUAACCUGGGAAUGGCGGUUGAAACAGGUCGACUGGAAUCUGGCAGAGGGGGGUGGAAUUCCACGUGUAGCAGUGAAAUGCGUAGGGAUGUGGAGGAACACCGAUGGCGAAGGCAGCCCCCUGGGCUGAGAUUGACGCUCAGGCACGAAAGCGUGGGGAGCAAACAGG